rnacentral:sRNA from 1 species
AAUGCUACUGAAAUAAAGAUGCCUGAAGUAAAGGUUCCUGAAAUCAAGGCUGAGCAACAGGAUGUAAAUGUUAAUCCUGAGAUUACUGCACUACAAACUAUGCUUGCUGAAUGCCAAGAAAAUCUUAAGAAACUGACUUCGAUAGAGAAAAGGUUAGCCUGUUUGGAACAAAAAAUGAAAGGAAAAGUGAUGGUAGAUGAAAACACCUGGACUAAUCUUCUUAGUCGUGUCACUCUUCUUGAAACAGAAAUGCUUUUGUCUAAAAAGAAUGAUGAAUUUAUAGAGUUUAAUGAAGUUAGUGAAGACUACGCUUCUUGUAGCGACAUGGACCUUCUGAAUCCUCACAGAAAAAGCGAAGUAGAGAGGCCAGCAAGUAUUCCUCUGUCCUCUGGCUAUAGUACAGCAUCAUCAGAUUCAACUCCCAGAGCCUCUACCGUUAAUUACUGUGGUUUGAAUGAGAUUUCAGAGGUAAGAAAAUGCUUAGAUUGUUUCCUUUCUAAAUGAGGAAAACAAGCAAGCAUUAGUUUUUGUUGUAAAUAUUGCUGGCAAGAAAAAUAGCAAACGCGAAUCUUAGUCUCUCAAAAUUCUUUCAUAAGUAAACAGUACUUAAUGCAAUGUUUCAAACUGUGUUUUGUACAUUCACGGUCCAUCUUUGAUGAUGGUUUACUUUGAGAAAUCAUCUAAAUUUGUUGCUUUUUAAAUUAAAGGAAACAACAAUUCAGAAAAUGGAAAGGAUGAAAAAAAUGUAAGUAACAGAAAGGGGCAACAGAAAUUCAUUUCUCUAUAGGGAAUUGUAUUGGAUUACAGUAUAUAUAGAAUGUGCAUGUGUGUUUCAAACCUUAAAGGUCUCUCAGUCAGGUGUGG